UGUAGGAGUGAGCCUGCUCGCGAUGGCGGUGUGUCAGUCGACUUAUUCAUUACUGACACACUGCUAUCGCGAGCAGGCUCACUCCUACA
rnacentral:misc_RNA from 1 species